rnacentral:rRNA from 1 species
GACGAACGCUGGCGGCGUGCUUAACACAUGCAAGUCGAACGGAAAGGCCCUGCUCUUGUGGGGUGCUCGAGUGGCGCACGGGUGUGUAACACGUGAGUAACCCCCCCUUGACUUUGGGAUAACUUCAGGAAACUGGGGCUAAUACCCGAUAGGAUCUCCUGCUCCAUGGUGGGGGUUGGAAAGAUUCGGCGGUUGGGGAUGGUCUCGCGGCUUAUCCGCUUGUUGGUGGGGUUGGGGCUUACCAAGGUUUCGACGGGUAGCCGGCAUGGGAGGGUGACCGGGGACAAUGGUACUGAGGUACGGCCCAGACGGCUACGGGAGGCAGUAGUGGGGAACAUUACACAGUGGGCGGGAGCGUGAUACAGAAACGCCGGGUGCGGGAUGACCGCCUUCGGGUUAUGAACAGCUUUGGCCUGUGACGAGGCGUGAGUGACGGUAAUGGGUAAAAAAGCACCGGCUAACUACGUG